rnacentral:lncRNA from 1 species
CUCAUGGUUGAUACACGUUUCACACAUGGCUGACUAUCCAUAUGCUCUCUUUUUUCAUGCUUUAAAUAUGUCUUUCUAAUAUUGAACUAAUUAUAACCAUGCUUUAGUCCGUGGUUGGCCAGACAUAAUGCUGUAUCUUGAUCUGAGGCUGCCCAGUACACACACCAUGUUUCUUACAUGGCCAAACAGUCCAAACACCACACAUAUUUUAUCAAGAUUAUUAAAGUCAUAAUAUGAUUUUUUGUAUUAGAUUAGUCACAAUCAUACUCCAACUUGUGGCAGGCCAAGCUGCAUCC